GCCAAAUUCGAUUAGAAAAAACUUUGACUUCGAAUAUCGAAGUAAUGCAAUUCGAUGGUUGAAUUUCGAAGUUUUUUACACUUCGAAAUUCGACCCUUGAUAAAUCUGCCCCUUAGUGUGCAUUUGUCCACAGAUAGAGGAAAACACGUUUACUUUCCGUUCCUGGUUCUUCUUGUUUGGCACUGAAAGUGUUACAUUUCCCCCCUUUUAGCACCAUGCAACUAAGUGACUGUGUUUUAGUCCAGGCAUGUAAAACCCGUAUAAUAGCCAAAUUAAAGUGAAACAUAAUGAGGGCCACUUUAUUUCUUCAGAGAGCUGCAUUCAUACUAGAGGAUAAAGCGGUUCAUAUUAAAUUAAAUUAAAUUUAUAUUUGAAAAUAACCUGCAUGCAGCAAUGUAUAUUUUUAGUGCAUCUUUGCAUAUCCCUCCAAUUAUAUAUAGUGCUUAAUUUAUAGUAAUGGGCGAAUUUCUCCCGUUUCUCUUCACCGGAAAAUUCACGAUCCAGCGAAAGUCGUGAAAAGGCAAGAAAAAUUGAGAAACGCGCAUUCUGACUCCGGCGACAAUUCCGAUGCCCAUUAAACUCAAUGGGUGCCUAGAAUUUUCGCCAGCAUCGGAAUUGUCGCCGGUAUAAAAUAUAUUUUGAUGCUAAUUUAUUUGUCGGCUGCGGAAUGCGGAUAUUUGCCACGAAUUCGCACCUGGCGAAUAAAUUCGCCCAUCACUAUUCAUUUAGACAAUUAAGGUGCAAAUUGCUAUACCUUAACUUAAAGGAAUUCCAAUGUUUCAUGAGAGCAAUGAGUUUCGCCGGUUAUUGUAUGCGGAUCUAUAGGACCAGACACCUAACAUUACCUGCUGAUUCAUGAAUCUGACAGGCAGCUUCCCAGCAAUAGUUACAAGUUAAAGUAUAUUUAGCUUUAAGUCAAUGUUUAUACUGUUCAUGUGGACCCCUAUUUUAAUGAAUAAAUAAAAUAACUAACUAACUAACUAACUAACUAACUAACUAAAUAAAUAUACAUACAGUAUAUACAUAUCCUAAAAAACUCAAGGAGCUAAGUUCUUGACAACUGCUUAUGUCUACAUUUAAAUAAUGCACAGUGUUUGCUUGUUUCUUUUAUUUUAUUAUCUCAAGCACCUCUGUAAGCAGAAUUUCCUGUAGUAGGGACAUAAUGACCAACAAAUCAACUGUUUUAUGACUGCUAUAGUGAUUAGCCUGGCAUUGUAUAGCCCUGCACCUUCAAAUAAGAUACUAUAGUCCGGAGGAAACUAGGGAGAGUUACAUGGUAAAGUAAACUAGGUAGCUCCACCUCAGGGGUCUAUAUUAAGAUGUUAUUAUAUAUUAUAUUAUUAUUAUAAGAGCACAAAAAGGCAGGUAUUUGUACAAAAUUAUUAUAAAUUUAACAUGUACCAUACAUAUACCAGUUGGAAGACCCUGCCUUGUAGGAAUGAGAUUGAGAGAAAUUUUGGAUAUGAUUCUGGAGGAUUCAAUAUACAUUAAUAAUUAAACCAAUGAUUGUUUUACAAAAGAGUAUUAUGCAGAAAUGUAUUUUUAUAAUAUAUAUUUUUCAAUGCAGUGUUCCUGCUAAAAUUAAAUAUUAACUAGUUUUCUUAUGGAGACUUAGAUGCCUUUAAUCUCAAUUUGGGAACUAGCCUUUAAAGAAGUAAGAAUGCACUCAAUGUGGUUGCUAUAAAAGUCUGAUCUGCAAUGCAUAGCUUAUGUACACUUGAGACCUUUGCAUAAACCUAAUAUGUUCUCAUGUGAGUCCAGUUUGUUAUUAGGCACUGCAGAUGUGGUUCUAAAGGCUAGACAUUAGCAUUAGCAUUUGGUACCAUGCUAAUUAAUUUAUACUAUCUUGUAGACUUAGUCAGCUCAGACUGCGGAAUGCAGAAGGCAUCCACACUUUAGUGUGAAGUACAGGUCCAAGUUAAAUGUGUGAAAUUAGCCACUUUAUCUAUGUUAAAAGGCCUUAAAACAGCUGGAAAAUAAAUAGAUUAUGCAAAAUACCUUACUCACGAUUCCAUGUGUCUCACAUAAAUAAACCAUGACUGGCUACAUUGUCCUCACCUAUGCAGCUUUACUGAAUACCCUGCCAAUUGAAGUUCUAUUUAUUCUGGAAACAUAAACACUAUUUGUAUUAUGUUGUUUCUUGCUUUUACUGUGAGGUUACAGCCUGCAGCAUUGCUCUGCCUAAAUCAAACCUAGGUAGGAUUCAUUUAGACACAAAGAAGCAUGAUAUAACAAACUGUAUCUUAAACUGAGAGCCAAAAAAGAAAAAUAUUCUGAAGUCUUCAUACUAUUUCUAUGAAUAGCUUUCCAUGCAUUUUAAUUGUAUUGAUGAGCCAUGAGAAUAUAAAGCUCUUUAAAGAGUAAUAACCACAAUGAUUCAAGGAUGGGGACUCAGUAUACAGUAGUGCCUAGAUCUAAGCCAGAAAGCACUAUUUUAAAGCCAUUUCCUCAUAGAAGCCAUCUAAAAAGCCAGAAAGCAUGAAGCAAAGAUGGCUCGCUCUGCCAUGGUGGGAAGAUGACAUGAGAAUGACCUACCGCCGAGGAAAGGACUUUAGUGUCGGCUCCUUUCAUGACUUCGGGUCUUUCCGUGGCUUCAGGACUUCGUCUGUUCGGCGCUUUCGCAUUCGGCUGUUCGGGACUUCGAUCAAGCGGCCCUGCGUCGGAGCUGUCAAGGGGGGCCCGGAUCUUCAAAAAAGUGCAGCCCUGCCCGGGACACUUGUCCCCCCUGUCCCCCCCUGAUGGCGGCCCUGGCCACAGUAUGAGUUAGCACUUCCUGUCUCCCAUCUCUCGUUACUUCAGACUGUUCAGCGAGUCAAGCUUUGGAUUUCCUGCUGUGCUGUGACUGCAGCGAGAAAAGCUAAAUGUUGCGUGCCUUACCCAUUUAUUCAUUUCUACCAAGUGAUUGCUUUUCAGUUGUUUUGUGCUGUGAAAUCUCGUAUUUUCAAAUGAAGAAUGUCACAGAUAUGUGAGUUACAAUCUGUGUGGAAACAUGUAUCCCAUUAAUUCAGAGACGUCUAUCUAUCGUCACCCUUCCUCUUUCUGUCUAUCCUAAUCCUUUAAAUGUCUGUUAAAUGUCUGUUUCUAGGUGUCUGCUUCACAAAAAUGAUGAACAGAUGUUCCAUUGAUACAUUUUAGCCAAACAAAUAAUAAAGGGUAGCUCGGUUGGGACCACA